rnacentral:rRNA from 1 species
UUGGAGGGCAAGUCUGGUGCCAGCAGCCGCGGUAAUUCCAGCUCCAAUAGCGUAUAUUAAAGUUGUUGCAGUUAAAAAGCUCGUAGUUGAAUUUCGGGGUUAGUAGGUUGGUCAUGCCUCUGGUAUGUACUGGUCUCACUGAUUCCUCCUUCCUUAUGAACCGUAAUGCCAUUAAUUUGGUGUUGCGGGGAAUUUGGACUGUUACCUUGAAAAAAUUAGAGUGUUUAAAGCAAGCUAACGCUUGAAUACAUUAGCAUGGAAUAAUGAAAUAGGACG